GUGAAUCAUCAAAUUUUUGAACGCAAAUUGCACUCUCCUCGGAGAGUAUGACUGUUUGAGGGUCAGCCUAUAAAAAAUCGACUUCGUUGCUGUUUCGCGGUGACGUUCGUCGGUAAUUGGGUCAUCUUACAUCCUUUUGGCUUUAAGUGAAUUAAAAAUUUCUUUUUGGUUCCAUGUAUGUUUCUAAGAUUUAUUUUUUUACCCGUUUAUGGUAUCGAUUUUUAUUAGACGUGACCAUCAUAUCGGAUCGUGUCCAUAAUCUUUCAUUACCUGACUUC
rnacentral:misc_RNA from 1 species